rnacentral:rRNA from 1 species
AUUGAACGCUGGCGGCAUGCCUUACACAUGCAAGUCGAACGGCAGCAUGAAAGAGCUUGCUCUUCUGAUGGCGAGUGGCGAACGGGUGAGUAAAGCAUCGGAACGUACCGUGUAGUGGGGGAUAACGUAGCGAAAGUUACGCUAAUACCGCAUACGCACUGAGGUGGAAAGCAGGGGAUCGCAAGACCUUGCGCUAUACGAGCGGCCGAUGUAAGAUUAGCUAGUUGGUAGGGUAAAGGCCUCCCAAGGCGACGAUCUGUAGCGGGUCUGAGAGGAUGAUCCGCCACACUGGGACUGAGACACGGCCCAGACUCCUACGGGAGGCAGCAGUGGGGAAUUUUGGACAAUGGGGGAAACCCUGAUCCAGCCAUGCCGCGUGAGUGAAGAAGGCCUUCGGGUUGUAAAGCUCUUUCGGCUGGGAAGAAAUCGCACAGGCUAAUACUCUGUGUGGAUGACGGUACCAGCAUAAGAAGCACCGGCUAACUACGUGCCAGCAGCCGCGGUAA